UACGUAGGGUGCGAGCGUUGUCCGGAAUUAUUGGGCGUAAAGAGCUCGUAGGCGGUCUGUCGCGUCGGUCGUGAAAACUUGGGGCUUAACCCUGAGCUUGCGGUCGAUACGGGCAUGACUGGAGUUCGGCAGGGGAGACUGGAAUUCCUGGUGUAGCGGUGAAAUGCGCAGAUAUCAGGAGGAACACCGGUGGCGAAGGCGAGUCUCUGGACAUUUCCUGACGCUGAGGCACGAAAGCCAGGGGAGCAAACGGG
rnacentral:rRNA from 1 species